rnacentral:rRNA from 1 species
AUUGAACGCUGGCGGCAGGCCUAACACAUGCAAGUCGAACGCGUGGCGGACGGGUGAGUCAUGUCUGGGACCCUGCCCGCUGGAGGGGGAUAACUCCUGGAAACGGUAACUAAUCCCGCAUACCAUCGGAUGUGCCCAGAGGGGAUUAGCUAGUAGGUCGGGUAACGGCUCACCUAGGCAACGAUACCUAGCUGGUCUGCGGGGAUGACCAGCCACACUGGAACGGAGACACGGUCCAGACUCCUACGGGAGGCAGCAGUGGGGAAUAUUGCACAAGGGGCGCAAGCCUGAUGCAGCCAUGCCGCGUGAAUGAAGAAGGUCGUCGGGUUGUAAAGUAAUUUCAGCAAGGAGGCGUUACUCACAGAAUAAGCACCGGCUAACUCCGUGCCAGCAGCCGCGGUAAUUC